AGAGGCAGCAGUUCUCUUACCCUGCUUACCUGUGUGCCCUUGCCCAGACUCUUCUAUCUCCCAAGGGCUGAGUUGUUCAGGGCCCUGGGGAAAGGAUCCUGCAAGUAGAGUGAAUUGGGGGCCCUGCUAAGGCUGGAUCCUGGAGCCCAGCCGCUGUGCAGAAGCCCUGGGUGGAAUAAGGGGCUUACCUGGAGCGGGGCUGGAGGAGGCCAGCUGAUUCUGACUCCAGAGACCUUUGGAGUGGCACAAGGAAAUGUACAGAGAUGUGGUACCCUUCCACCCUUUACUGCUGCCUCUCCUGAGCUGCUCCCUCCCAGCCUAGAUGUCUUCCACUAAGCCCUUCACUCACCUCUGGUCUUGAGGCCAGACCUGCCAGGCUGCAGUGAUGGGGGUGCUAAGGGAGAAGGGAGUGCCAUAUCUGGGCGGCCACAGGAAAAUGCUCCACAGGGACCCCCAAGUCCUCUCUCAGAAUUCCUCAUGAGUUCCUCUGCCUCCUGGUGCCUCUUCAGUCCUGGAUCCAGCUCAUCUUCAUUCUUGUCCUUUUGAGCUCUCUUGC